CAAUAUGAAUUGAUUUCUUCCAAUUGUGAUUUGAUAAGUUGUGAUUGCAAUUCAAUUAUCUAUUUUAUUCAUAAUGGAUUUGUGUAUGUUUAUUAAGGAUGCAUACUUAGUUUUCAUGCAUGAAUUUGAUGCUAGGAUAUAAAUAAGUUUUACCUAAUCGUUACAAGUUUAUAUUCAUGAGUAGUGAAGGUUGCUUGUCACAAUCGCGUUAAUUGAAUUCUUGGCAAACGUAUCAUGCAUUCAUAGUUACAAUCAAGGAACAAAAUGUCGAUAAUAUCGGCGAUAUAUCACCGAUAUUAUCGGUUUUUAAGGGGACCGAUAUUUUUAUAACUAUCCAAAUGGUUUUCAUGAUAAUAUCGCAAUAUUUAUUAUCGACAAAAUCGCCGAGGCUCCGUCGUCGCAGCUGCCAAGAUCUGCGCCUCUCUUUGCAAUCCGCGCUCAGACCCAUCAAAAUUCGCAAUCCCUUCUCUUCGGAUCCUAAAACCCGCUCGGGUUUGAUAGAUCCUCCGCCUCUUGUGGGUGUGGUGUGGCUGUGCUCUGGGAAGGAGAGUUGCAGAAAUGGGGGGAGAAGAAACAAGGAGAGGAAUGAGGG
rnacentral:lncRNA from 1 species